rnacentral:rRNA from 1 species
UACAGAGGGUGCGAGCGUUGUUCGGAAUUACUGGGCGUAAAGCGUGCGUAGGUGGUUUGUUAAGUCUGUUGUGAAAGCCCCGGGCUCAACCUGGGAAUGGCAAUGGAUACUGGCAGGCUAGAGUGCGGGUAGAGGGUUAGUGGAAUUCCCGGUGUAAGCGGUGAAAUGCGUAGAGAUCGGGAGGAACACCAGUGGCGAAGGCGGCUACCUGGAC